UGCUAAUCUAGUACUUCUCUGCUGGGUGCAGCUGCAUAGCUGGAGGGGAAGAAAAACACUGGGCUUUUUUAGGGGGAGGUGAGAAGGGAAGAAAGCUUGUCCGUGAUUUUUCCCUGUCCCUUGAGGAGGUUUUUCUGGUGUCUCCUUGAUUUCUCUGGGAGGCGUGGUUCCAGUAGUGCAGAAACUCGGAUUCCUGGUGGGAAAUUCACACGCAUAUUGUACCAGAAUGAUACACAAAAUGUUCAGCUAUUCUUGUUCAUUUUAUAAGGCUGUAUCAUGGCCACUGUAAUACAUUUUCUGAGUUCACAAGUUUAAAGCCUAUCUCAGUUUAGGAACUCUAAUUCAUCUAGUUUACCCGUAGUGGUUCCCUGGGCCAUGAUUACUGGGGUAAUCUGAUGGAUGAGUAUGUGAGUAUUGUGGAUCUUUGACCCGGAAGAGCCACUAGAGACAAUUUAGUUUAUGCCGGUAAAACGAUUCGGGUUUAGGUUGCUAAUACUGACAUUUUUAGACGAGGUGACUAAGGCCAACCCUGGUUAAGAAUGACGUGCCUGAAGUCACGUUACAAUAUGUUAAGAAUUGUGAAACCAAGAGUUCUUCCUUUGAGUACUGUAUUUUUUCACCAUGUAUUGUGUUUGCUGAAACAACUCAAGGCUUUUAGAAAAUGGAUAAGUAUUAAUUUGAGUAUAUGCUAUUUCUCAAAGCGACAUUUUCCACUACUUUUAUUUUUACCUACUUUGUUUGUGUGCCUUUCUCCCCACUGAAUUGUGAAUUCCUAGAUGUUAGAGAGAGAAUCUGUAUUCUCUCAUAGCCUUGUGCACGGACUGGGAAUCAGUAACACUCAGGAAAUAUUGAAUAGUGAAAAUUGACAGUUGUUUUAGUAUACCGAGGUAAAGAAACAACGUCCUCAAGUUGCUCAGCAUAGACAUUUCCUCCUGUGUGCCAGUGUCUUGUAAUGAGAAUUUGAGAGUACUCAUGGGGUUUCUGUUAAUAGAGGAAUGCCUAUUGAUUUAUAUUAAUACAUUGUGAUUUUACUAUUCCUAAUAAUAUUCUAGAUGCCUGAAAAAGUAAAUGUUUCCCUAAAGGUCCCUAGAGAUUGACUUAUAUGCAAAGGAGAAUAGAUUUUAAAAAUCUCAACAUAAAAACAAUCUAAAUAAUUGUCACUUAAGAGUGUAACCACUGCUUAUUACAGUAUGUAAUAGUGAUCCCAUUCAGAGUGAUUGCAAAUAGUGGCUGAAAAGUUAAUUUGUCACCCAAAUUGCCUAAUUAAUGGAAAAGUUUAGAUUCUAGAGGUAGUAGUCCUUAAUUUUAUUAUGGCAUUCAGUGUAAAAUAAACUUUUUUUGCAAUUUCAUAAGGGUCUUUUGAGUAGGGACAGUGUUUGUGUCACCAUAGUAGAAUGGCUUAAACAUACUGUGCUAGCAACCUAAUAUUUGUUGAAUUUAAUUCUCAGAUAGUUAUACAAUCCUGACUGUAUUGUUAAGUAAAAGGAUACUUGACUGAUGAUAUAUUCCCUAUUUGUAAAAUGGAUAAGAUGGUCACUAAUUCAAAGUUCAACAGUUUUAUUAUGUUUCUCCACUGUCAUAAGUCAUGUACAGUUUACAUCAUUUAGAUCAUGCUUUGGUCUGUCAAUUGAAAUAAUUCUCAGGAUAAGCUUUGUUAAGGACGUUAUGUUGGUAUUUGUUUUGUUUUUAAAUUUGUGUUACUAUCAGUAAGUAACCAGAAAUGUUCCAUUUAGAAUUAUUUUACCUAUUUCCAAAAAGGAGUUGUUGGCUUUGUUAGUUUAAAAAUUAAACUCAUGGAACUUGAUAGAACAAAGGUGCUUGAACAGAAAAAUAGAUCUUGUUAUAUAUGCUAAGUAACAAGCAUAUAUUAGUAGUUCAGACAUCCGUUAUAUUUUGUGUUCUUCACUGAAACCAUAUUUCAUCAAAAUACAUUUAAAUCUUAGUUCUAAGAAUACAAAGUAUUUUGUUUUUUAAACUGUAAAAAUUGUAUAGUACACGGAUCUUUUAGGAAAAAAAUUCAGUUUAAGUAGUGCCCUUCCCCCUACUCAUUCUCCCAGGGGCAAUCACUGGUAACUACUUCCUGUCUAUCCUUUCAGGCCUUUGUUUCUGGGCACAUACAUAAACACAUUAGCGCGGUUCUGUUUUUUUAUACAAAUAAAUCUAUCAGCAACUUUUCUCAUUCUGUAUUAUAUCAUGUAUUAUACCUAUAUUUUUGCACUUACGGUAUACUUUAUUCUUUCUAAAAAUUGUGUUCUACAAUGUGGAUGUAUCACAAUUUAUUUAACUAUUUCUGUAAUCAUAGAUUUUUAG
rnacentral:lncRNA from 1 species